CACUUCGACAAAAGGCUGCAGAAGUAAUAAGAAUAUCGGCAGAGCAAUAAUUGCGUUGGAGGGAGAUGUGGAGGGGGAGGGGGGGGGGAAGGGAGAUGUGUGGAGAGAUGUGGGGGAGACGCGUGACAAUAAAAAAGAGCAGCGGCGAGUAAAGGAGGUAUGGAGAAAGACGUGGAGUGAAGGACGCGCGGCCGCCCUGCGCAGAGCCUCAAUCGCCGUCGCCAAAGCCACCGAAACGCAGCGACGGGUCCAUGGGAGGCAUCCUGCUGCCCCCGCCGCUGCUGCUGCUGCUGGUACCUGGAGCCGAGUCCUCGGGCACCGUGAAGACGAACGCCCGCCGCUCGAACCGCGCCAGGGACACGGCCGCCCGCCCGCCGCCUCCGCCCGUCUGGCACGCGCAGCGGCACUGCCGCGGAGAGCAAAACGGAAAAAAGGCGGUGACGCCAAAGGUGGGGUGGCAGCGCCGGGGCGAUCCACCGCCGGGCCAAUGCAGAGGUUUCAUGGGUUCGGAUUAUCCGGCUCCGCCCCUGAUGAAGAAUACGGUCAAACACUUACGCGUCCGUCUCUUUCGGAGAAAAUGUGUCGUGACGGAUUAGUGCAGGCCGGUAAAAAAGAAAAAAACGUGAGUUUCAAACCGGUCCACAUUCGCUUCAAAUUGAUUUCGAUGGCAUGGCUGACACAGUGCUCAUGGCGCUGCCUGGUCCAACAAACAACCAGUGCCGGAUUAUCCUAGGAGCAAAAGUAGCUACAUAUGCUAAAUGCUUUCAAGCUAUUCUUCACUUACUCUAUUACUAUAGUACUACACCGCCUUCAACUUUUAAUGUUAGCGAUGUGUUGUAUUAUCUGGCUCUAUAGCAAAUAAAAAAAAUACAAUUACUUUACUAUGCAAAUAAAAAAA